GCUUUCCCAACGUUGUCGGGGUAAUUGAUUGCACCCAUGUUUCGAUAAAGAAGCCAUCGGCCAAUCCAGAGGAUUACAUUGGGAGGAAAGGAAUUCCUACAAUAAAUGUGCAGGCUGUAUGUGAUGCCUCAUAUAGGAUUACAUCAGCAGUAGUGAUGUGGCCAGGGAGGACACACGAUGCACGAAUCUGGCGCCAAUGUGCACUCCGAAGGAGGUUUGAAGACGGAUGCCAAAGAAAUUGCUGGGAAAUUAAACAAGGUGUGUUGGAAAACCGGCGCUUGGGUGAGUAGUAUAGCUCUCCAUAUUCUUCACAUAGCCGAGCUAAAACUGAAUGCCAUCAGACAAAAUUGUGUGAUUCUAUCAACGUAGCUCAUAUGAUAAUGUAUGACAACAUUUUUUUUAUGUACCAGACAACAUUGCACGCAUACAUUCAGCCUUCCUGCAAUACAUAACACAUUAAUGAAAGUGAAAGGGUUUACGGAAUUGAAUUGCUUCUAUUGAUUUAAUGUUGGAAUAAGGAAAAGAAUGAAA